GGUUAAGCGACUAAGCGUACACGGUGGAUGCCCUGGCAGUCAGAGGCGAUGAAGGACGUGCUAAUCUGCGAAAAGCGUCGGUAAGGUGAUAUGAACCGUUAUAGCCGGCGAUGUCCGAAUGGGGAAACCCAGUGCAAUUCGUUGCACUAUCGUUAACUGAAUACAUAGGUUAACGAGGCGAACCGGGGGAACUGAAACAUCUAAGUACCCCGAGGAAAAGAAAUCAACCGAGAUUCCCCCAGUAGCGGCGAGCGAACGGGGAGCAGCCCAGAGUCUGAAUCAGCUUGUGUGUUAGUGGAACGGUCUGGAAAGUCCGACGGUACAGGGUGAUAGUCCCGUACACCAAAAUGCACAGGCUGUGAACUCGAAGAGUAGGGCGGGACACGUGGUAUCCUGUCUGAAUAUGGGGGGACCAUCCUCCAAGGCUAAAUACUCCUGACUGACCGAUAGUGAACCAGUACCGUGAGGGAAAGGCGAAAAGAACCCCGGCGAGGGGAGUGAAAAAGAACCUGAAACCGUGUACGUACAAGCAGUGGGAGCACCUUCGGGUGUGACUGCGUACCUUUUGUAUAAUGGGUCAGCGACUUAUAUUCUGUAGCAAGGUUAACCGUAUAGGGGAGCCGCAGGGAAACCGAGUCUUAACUGGGCGUUAAGUUGCAGGGUAUAGACCCGAAACCCGGUGAUCUAGCAUGGGCAGGUUGAAGGUUGGGUAACACUAACUGGAGGACCGAACCGACUAAUGUUGAAAAAUUAGCGGAUGACUUGUGGCUGGGGGUGAAAGGCCAAUCAAACCGGGAGAUAGCUGGUUCUCCCCGAAAGCUAUUUAGGUAGCGCCUCGUGAAUUCAUCUUCGGGGGUAGAGCACUGUUUCGGCUAGGGGGUCAUCCCGACUUACCAACCCGAUGCAAACUACGAAUACCGAAGAAUGUUAUCACGGGAGACACACGGCGGGUGCUAACGUCCGUCGUGAAGAGGGAAACAACCCAGACCGCCAGCUAAGGUCCCAAAGUCAUGGUUAAGUGGGAAACGAUGUGGGAAGGCACAGACAGCCAGGAUGUUGGCUUAGAAGCAGCCAUCAUUUAAAGAAAGCGUAAUAGCUCACUGGUCGAGUCGGCCUGCGCGGAAGAUGUAACGGGGCUAAACCAUGCACCGAAGCUGCGGCAGCGACACUAUGUGUUGUUGGGUAGGGGAGCGUUCUGUAAGCCUGCGAAGGUGACCUGUGAGGGUUGCUGGAGGUAUCAGAAGUGCGAAUGCUGACAUAAGUAACGAUAAAGCGGGUGAAAAGCCCGCUCGCCGGAAGACCAAGGGUUCCUGUCCAACGUUAAUCGGGGCAGGGUGAGUCGACCCCUAAGGCGAGGCCGAAAGGCGUAGUCGAUGGGAAACAGGUUAAUAUUCCUGUACUUGGUGUUACUGCGAAGGGGGGACGGAGAAGGCUAUGUUAGCCGGGCGACGGUUGUCCCGGUUUAAGCAUGUAGGCUGGUUAUCCAGGCAAAUCCGGAUAAUCAAGGCUGAGGUGUGAUGACGAGGCACUACGGUGCUGAAGUAACAAAUGCCCUGCUUCCAGGAAAAGCCUCUAAGCAUCAGGUAACAUCAAAUCGUACCCCAAACCGACACAGGUGGUCAGGUAGAGAAUACCAAGGCGCUUGAGAGAACUCGGGUGAAGGAACUAGGCAAAAUGGUGCCGUAACUUCGGGAGAAGGCACGCUGGUGUGUAGGUGAAGUCCCUGCGGAUGGAGCUGAGACCAGUCGAAGAUACCAGCUGGCUGCAACUGUUUAUUAAAAACACAGCACUGUGCAAACACGAAAGUGGACGUAUACGGUGUGACGCCUGCCCGGUGCCGGAAGGUUAAUUGAUGGGGUUAUCCGUAAGGAGAAGCUCUUGAUCGAAGCCCCGGUAAACGGCGGCCGUAACUAUAACGGUCCUAAGGUAGCGAAAUUCCUUGUCGGGUAAGUUCCGACCUGCACGAAUGGCGUAAUGAUGGCCAGGCUGUCUCCACCCGAGACUCAGUGAAAUUGAACUCGCUGUGAAGAUGCAGUGUACCCGCGGCAAGACGGAAAGACCCCGUGAACCUUUACUAUAGCUUGACACUGAACAUUGAGCCUUGAUGUGUAGGAUAGGUGGGAGGCUUUGAAGCGUGGACGCCAGUCUGCGUGGAGCCAACCUUGAAAUACCACCCUUUAAUGUUUGAUGUUCUCUAACGUUGGCCCCUUACCGGGGUUGCGGACAGUGUCUGGUGGGUAGUUUGACUGGGGCGGUCUCCUCCCAAAGCGUAACGGAGGAGCACGAAGGUUAGCUAAUCCUGGUCGGACAUCAGGAGGUUAGUGCAAUGGCAUAAGCUAGCUUGACUGCGAGCGUGACGGCGCGAGCAGGUGCGAAAGCAGGUCAUAGUGAUCCGGUGGUUCUGAAUGGAAGGGCCAUCGCUCAACGGAUAAAAGGUACUCCGGGGAUAACAGGCUGAUACCGCCCAAGAGUUCAUAUCGACGGCGGUGUUUGGCACCUCGAUGUCGGCUCAUCACAUCCUGGGGCUGAAGUAGGUCCCAAGGGUAUGGCUGUUCGCCAUUUAAAGUGGUACGCGAGCUGGGUUUAGAACGUCGUGAGACAGUUCGGUCCCUAUCUGCCGUGGGCGCUGGAGAAUUGAGGGGGGCUGCUCCUAGUACGAGAGGACCGGAGUGGACGCAUCACUGGUGUUCGGGUUGUCAUGCCAAUGGCACUGCCCGGUAGCUAAAUGCGGAAGAGAUAAGUGCUGAAAGCAUCUAAGCACGAAACUUGCCCCGAGAUGAGUUCUCCCUGAGACUUUAAGUCUCCUGAAGGAACGUUAAAGACGAUGACGUUGAUAGGCCGGGUGUGUAAGCGCAGCGAUGCGUUGAGCUAACCGGUACUAAUGAACCGUGAGGCUUAACCUU
rnacentral:rRNA from 1 species